UACGUAGGUCCCGAGCGUUGUCCGGAUUUAUUGGGUUUAAAGGGUGCGUAGGCGGUUUGAUAAGUUAGAGGUGAAAUGUCGGGGCUCAACCCCGAAACUGCCUCUAAUACUGUUGGACUAGUGAAUAAUUGCGGUAGGCGGAAUGUAUGGUGUAGCGGUGAAAUGCUUAGAGAUCAUACAGAACACCGAUUGCGAAGGCAGCUUACCAAACUAUAUCUGACGUUGAGGCACGAAAGCGUGGGUAGCAAACAGG
rnacentral:rRNA from 1 species